rnacentral:rRNA from 1 species
CACGUAGGGGGCAAGCGUUGUCCGGAUUUAUUGGGCGUAAAGAGCUCGUAGGUGGUUCGGUAAGUCGGGUGUUAAACCCCCAGGCUCAACCUGGGGACGCCACUCGAUACUGCUGUGACUUGAGUCCGGUAGGGGAGCGUGGAAUUCCUGGUGUAGCGGUGAAAUGCGCAGAUAUCAGGAGGAACACCAGCGGCGAAGGCGGCGCUCUGGGCCGGUACUGACACUGAGGCGCGAAAGCCAGGGGAGCAAACGGG